rfam:Syntrophobotulus glycolicus DSM 8271, complete genome.
GGAGGAAGGCCCUCCGGCAGGGACUGGUCAGGCGGACCUGCCAAACAACCUUCUGCUGCUGUAGCCAAAAGCUAUGGUAGCGAGCGACGAAGGAAAAGUCCAUAAAAAAAAUGGGCAUG